GGUGUGUGUGUGUGUGUGUGUGUGUGUGUGUGUGUGUGUGUGUGUGUGAGGCGAUACAGUUAAGUUGUUUUUUUACACGAUUUUUUUUUUUUCCAAUCAAGGUCUAUUCUUCCCCUGUAAGGAAUUUCUCGAGCGUCAAUAAACUUUUUUCCCCCCUCUUGUUAUUGUCAAGACUUAAUUUCUGAUUUUCUCCUUUCCCUUCAAUACAAAUUUUUACUCUUUUUAUUUUUUUUUUCAGUCUUCUUAUCCUCCCUUAAUUCUGUCCACGGUUUAAGAGCUGCCUUGCAUUUGUAAGUCAACUGACCUUUUGCAGUUCCCUAUAAUUUCCUUAUGCUCUUGCGUUUGUCCACUGUUCGUUACUGUACAGUAAGGAUAAAUGUGAGGUGGAUGGAAGGUAGCGGUGAGGAAAUAGAGUGGAAGGAAGGUGGUUAGGCUGGGUGGAUGUGGAUCUAAUAACCUGCUAGGCCUAAUGUCACUUAAUCCACCAAAAAAAUUGACUUCCCUGGGAAUCUGUCAUCCCUCUUUUUUCAUCGUGAUGGCGGCUCUGCGCAAAAUUACUUUCGUCGAGCCGCUGGUCCUAAUGACUGGGGCGGGUGGGCCUAGAAUGACCCCAAAUUAGAGCCUUAGGAACAGAGGUGCACCGAUGCGAGGGGCGCCAAGACCCUUAACGGCAACCUGGCUAAGGGGUGGCGUCCUGCUAGCCUGCGGGAGGGCGUGGCAGGCCUUCGAAUUAGCGGAAAUUAAAUGACUAGGAGAAUGGAUAGGAGAGAAGUAAAAAAAAAAAACUCAUAACACAAACAGGUAGAAGGAAAACAUCGGAGUAAAAAAAAAAAAUAGAGGCAAAGCUAAACAUGGGGGAAUGAGAGUUACUGUACAGUGUGUCUUUCUUUGUCUUUCCUUUCUAAACCAGAUUUCCGAGAACGACAAUUAAGCCAACUCGUGGUGGUGACACAGGGUGAAGGAGAGAGAUGGAGGAGGAGGAGCAGGAAGGAGGAGAGGGAGAGCAGGGACUAGAAUGGGAGUAAGAAAGGUUGAGGUAAAGGAGAGUUAGGGGAAGAUGGGCGGGGAAGUAUUGAAGUUACGAGAGAGAGAGAGAGAGAGAGAGAGAGAGAGAGAGAGAGAGAGAGAGAGAGAGAGAGAGAGAGAGAGAGAGAGAGAGAGAGAGAGAGAGAGAGAGAGAGAGAGAGAGAGACCAAGCUUGCAAACACGGGCGGAAGAACAAGAGAGAAAAAGAAGACAAACAGCGAGAAGAAAGGAAAACUUACGACUAGGGAGGAGGAGGAGGAGGAGGAGGAGGAGGAGGAGUCUAGGAUGGGGGGAGAGGAGCCGUCGCAGCAGAGCCAACCACCACAUUCAUCACGCCUCAUAAACAUUACGAAUCUCAGGGCUCGCCUUAGAACGACCGACCGGGGCCCUUUGGAGAGGUGCCUUAGGCCUUGGGUUGACGAGGAGGAGGAGGAGGAGGAGGAGGAGGAGGAGGGAGGGAGGGGUGGUGGUGGUAGUGCGAGGGAUGAGGGAAGAGAGGCAAGGGAGGUCGUGGAAUGUUAUGAUUGUUGGUAAUGAUAUGCAAGGGUCGGCCAAACAUUCUGGGGUCCCUCGUCCUGGGGUGCAGGGUGCUGGGAAAUAGAUGUGCGGGGCUCGGGAUAAGCCUCCGGGGUGGCUGCGGGAGUACUUAGGGGCACGCCACACUGCUUGUCGCGAGGUGAUGCAAGGACGCGCUCGGAUUGAAAGUUGGGGAAGGAUUAAGUGAUUGCGGUGGGUUCUGAUUCCAAUGCAAUGUUUGUAUAAAAUAAUUGACCGAAUGCUGACUUGGUUGAACCCUGAACUCUUUCAUUGUUUAUU